UCGGGUUGUAAAGCACUUUUGUCCGGAAAGAAAACUUCUGCCCUAAUACGGUGGGAGGAUGACGGUACCGGAAGAAUAAGCACCGGCUAACUACGUGCCAGCAGCGCGGUAAUCGUAGGGUGCGAGCGUUAAUCGGAAUUACUGGGCGUAAAGCGUGCGCAGGCGGUUCGUUAAGACAGAUGUGAAAUCCCCGGGCUUAACCUGGGAACUGCAUUUGUGACUGGCGAGCUAGAGUAUGGCAGAGGGGGGUAGAAUUCCACGUGUAGCAGUGAAAUGCGUAGAGAUGUGGAGGAAUACCGAUGGCGAAGGCAGCCCCCUGGGCCAAUACUGACGCUCAUGCACGAAAGCGUGGGGAGCAAACAGGAUUAGAUACCCUGGUAGUCCACGCCCUAAACGAUGUCAACUAGUUGUUGGGGAUUCAUUUCCUUAGUAACGUAGCUAACGCGUGAAGUUGACCGCCUGGGGAGUACGGUCGCAAGAUUAAAACUCAAAGGAAUUGACGGGGACCCGCACAAGCGGUGGAUGAUGUGGAUUAAUUCGAUGCAACGCGAAAAACCUUACCUACCCUUGACAUGGUCGGAACCCUGCUG
rnacentral:rRNA from 1 species